UUCUGAGGCGGGCCGGGCGGGGCAGCUCUCGGGCUGGCCGGUAAGUGCGUCCGGUUUCCACCCUCGCUGCGGGCCCGCCACCCUC
rnacentral:antisense_RNA from 1 species